UUAUUUGAGCGCUCAUUUUAUAAAAAAAUUGACGUUCGUUUACAACAAAAAACUCUUGACAAAUAUAAAAAACAAUUUACAAAUACUUUAAAACCCUUUUAAUGUGUUGUAAUUAUUACGAUCUUAUUAUUUGUUACAAGAAAAACUAUUUUUAUUUUGAAAGGUAAAAAACAAUACAAAAUAAAAAUAUAAACAAGAUUCAAAAUUAUUACAUAUCGUCAUCAAUUGUUACAGCUCUAUCACUGUCAUCAUCGCUACUUGAAAAAAUCUUUAUUUUCUUUGACUUUUUAACUGAUACAACUGGAGUUUUGUUGUCCAUGUAACUAAAUCUUUUUUUAUUUGAUUGAUGCCAGUUUUAUUUUUUCGUGAUGGCUUUAAAAGCCAGUAUUUGAUGGCUUUUGUUGGAUCGUAUAUUUCCAUUUCUGGACCAUCAAUCUUGAUGCGCAAUUGCAUUGUUAAUAACUUGUUUCUGACUCGUGUUCUUUGAAUUGACUUAACGUUUUUCAUUGCGCUAAAGCCUUUUUCCGCGUCUGCUGAACUUAAGCUAUGGCACAAUAAAAAAUCAAUCAGAAAAAAAAAAUUAGCGAAUAUAUCUGCUUUAAUAUUAGUCGCUAUUUGUGACCAAGAUAGCUAUGGAAAUGAUUUUGAACUUGCACUUGUCCAAGUUGCCAUUAUUUUUUUCAAAAUUAUCCACUGCCGUAAAAAAGUCGCUCUCCGUCCAUUCAACUGUGUUAAGCAACUCGUCCGCCUCCGCAAAGACAUCUGAUACAUUUGAACAUCGUUUCAAAAUGCACUUUUUCAUGGAUGUAGCAAUAAAAACUCGAUCUCGUAUUUUAUCACUUCAUGCAAAUUUAUAAUCACAUAUAUCGAGCGUUUUUUCCAGUAAAAACCAGAGUCUGGAUUUUCUUCGAAUCUUUCUAAAUUGCAAACGGCAUGCUCGAAUGAAAACUUAACUUCAUACGUUGAAACUUUUUUUUUUGUGUUGCCUUUAAAUACAAACAUAAACAACAUUAUUUUUGGUAUAUUCUUAAAUUUCCGUAAAAAAGUCGCUCUCCGUCCAUUCAACUGUGUUAAGCAACUCGUCCGCCUCCGCAAAGACAUCUGAUACAUUUGAACAUCGUUUCAAAAUGCACUUUUUCAUGGAUGUAGCAAUAAAAACUCGAUCUCGUAUUUUAUCACUUCAUGCAAAUUUAUAAUCACAUAUAUCGAGCGUUUUUUCCAGUAAAAACCAGAGUCUGGAUUUUCUUCGAAUCUUUCUAAAUUGCAAACGGCAUGCUCGAAUGAAAACUUAACUUCAUACGUUGAAACUUUUUUUUUUGUGUUGCCUUUAAAUACAAACAUAAACAACAUUAUUUUUGGUAUAUUCUUAAAUUUGUAAGUAAACAAUUUUUUAUUUGUUACAUUAACGUUUUAAUUUGAAAAGCA